rnacentral:rRNA from 1 species
GUACUGUGCGAACGUUAUUCGGAAUCACUGGGCUUAAAGGGUGCGUAGGCGGCUGAUCAAGUCAGGUGUGAAAGUCCCCGGCUCAACCGGGGAAUUGCGCUUGAAACUGAUCAGCUCGAGUGAGAUAGGGGUGUGCGGAACUUCCGGUGGAGCGGUGAAAUGCGUUGAUAUCGGAAGGAACACCGGUGGCGAAGGCGGCACACUGGGUCUCUACUGACGCUCAUGCACGAAAGCCAGGGGGGAGCGAACGGGAUUAGAUACCCCGGUAGUCCUGGCUGUAAACGAUGAGCACUAGAUGGGAGGAGCUUCGGCUUCUCCGGUCGCAGCGAAAGCGUUAAGUGCUCCGCCUGGGGAGUAUGGUCGCAAGGCUG